CCAAGCNAUGAUGGCAGAGAGGUCACACCCGUUCCCAUACCGAACACGGAAGUUAAGCUCUCUAGCGCCGAUGGUAGUUGGGACCUUGUCCCUGUGAGAGUAGGACGUUGCCAGGC
rnacentral:rRNA from 1 species